rnacentral:rRNA from 1 species
GAUGAACGCUGGCGGCGUGCCUAAUACAUGCAAGUCGAGCGAACAGACGAGGAGCUUGCUCCUCUGACGUUAGCGGCGGACGGGUGAGUAACACGUGGAUAACCUACCUAUAAGACUGGGAUAACUUCGGGAAACCGGAGCUAAUACCGGAUAAUAUAUUGAACCGCAUGGUUCAAUAGUGAAAGACGGUUUUGCUGUCACUUAUAGAUGGAUCCGCGCCGCAUUAGCUAGUUGGUAAGGUAACGGCUUACCAAGGCAACGAUGCGUAGCCGACCUGAGAGGGUGAUCGGCCACACUGGAACUGAGACACGGUCCAGACUCCUACGGGAGGCAGCAGUAGGGAAUCUUCCGCGAUGGGCGAAAGCCUGACGGAGCAACGCCGCGUGAGUGAUGAAGGUCUUCGGAUCGUAAAACUCUGUUAUUAGGGAAGAACAAAUGCGUAAGUAACUAUGCACGUCUUGACGGUACCUAAUCAGAAAGCCACGGCUAACUACGUG